rnacentral:rRNA from 1 species
GAUCCUGGCUCAGAUUGAACGCUGGCGGUAGGCUUAACACAUGCAAGUCGUGCGAGAAAGUAUCUUCGGAUAUGAGUAGAGCGGCGGACGGGUGAGUAACGCGUAGGAAUCUACCUAGUAGAAGGGGAUAGCCCGAGGAAACUCGGAUUAAUACCGUAUACCUCCUUAGGGAAAAAGAGGGCCUCUCUUGAUGCUCUCGCUAUUAGAUGAGCCUGCGUAAGAUUAGCUUGUUGGUGAGGUAAUGGCUCACCAAGGCUACGAUCUUUAGCUGGUCUGAGAGGACGAUCAGCCACAUUGGGACUGAGACACGGCCCAGACUCCUACGGGAGGCAGCAGUGGGGAAUAUUGGACAAUGGGCGCAAGCCUGAUCCAGCCAUACCGCGUGUGUGAAGAAGGCCCUAGGGUUGUAAAGCACUUUAAGCAGGGAGAAAAAGUUAUAAGUUAAUACCUUAUGGCCUUGAUGUUACCUGCAGAAUAAGCACCGGCUAAUUCCGUGCCAGCAGCCGCGGGUAAUACGGAAGGUGCAAGCGUUAAUCGGAAUUACUGGGCGUAAAGCGCGCGUAGUGGUUUGUUAAGUUGGAUGUGAAAGCCCUGGGCUCAACCUAGGAACUGCAUCCAAAACUAACUCACUAGAGUAC